AGAGGAAUAGCUGGGUCAAAUGGUGGUUCCAUUCCCAGCUUUCCAAGGAAUCUCCACACUGUUUUCCAAAUUGGCUGCACAAAUUUGCAUUCCCACCAACAAU
rnacentral:pre_miRNA from 1 species